AAUGAACGCUGGCGGCGUGCCUAACACAUGCAAGUCGAGCGAGAAAGUCUCUUCGGAGAUUAGUACAGCGGCGGACGGGUGAGUAAUGCGCAGGAACCUGCCCUUUGGUGAGGAAUACUCCUGAGAAAUUGGGAAUAAUACCGCAUAAGUCCCUAUGGGGAGAAAGGCGGCUUUAAUGCUGUCGUCAGAGGAUGGGCUUGCGUGCUAUCAGCUAGUUGGUGAGGUAAAGGCUUACCAAGGCUAUGACGGCUAACCGGCCUGAGAGGGUGUACGGUCACACUGGAACUGAGACACGGUCCAGACUCCUACGGGAGGCAGCAGUGGGGAAUAUUGCGCAAUGGGCGAAAGCCUGACGCAGCGACGCCGCGCGGAGGAUGAAGGUCUUAGGAUUGUAAACUCCUGUUAAGCGGGAAGAAAAGCCUAUCAGUAAUAUAGGUAGGUUAUGACGGUACCGCUAGAGAAAGCACCGGCUAACUUCGUGCCAGCGGCCGCGGU
rnacentral:rRNA from 1 species